AUUGAACGCUGGCGGCAUGCCUUACACAUGCAAGUCGAACGGUAACAGGUCUUCGGAUGCUGACGAGUGGCGAACGGGUGAGUAAUGCAUCGGAACGUGCCCAGUAGUGGGGGAUAGCCCGGCGAAAGCCGGAUUAAUACCGCAUACGACCUGAGGGUGAAAGGGGGGGAUCGCAAGACCUCUCGCUAUUGGAGCGGCCGAUGUCAGAUUAGCUAGUUGGUGGGGUAAAGGCCUACCAAGGCAACGAACUGUAGUUGGUCUGAGAGGACGACCAGCCACACUGGGACUGAGACACGGCCCAGACUCCUACGGGAGGCAGCAGUGGGGAAUUUUGGACAAUGGGCGCAAGCCUGAUCCAGCAAUGCCGCGUGCAGGAAGAAGGCCUUCGGGUUGUAAACUGCUUUUGUCAGGGAAGAAAUCUUCUGGGCUAAUACCCUGGGAGGAUGACUGUACCUGAAGAAUAAGCACCGGCUAACUCUGUGCCAGCCGCCGCAGUAAUAC
rnacentral:rRNA from 1 species